UACGUAGGGUGCAAGCGUUGUCCGGAAUUAUUGGGCGUAAAGAGCUCGUAGGCGGUCUGUCGCGUCGGCUGUGAAAUCCCGAGGCUCAACCUCGGGUCUGCAGUCGAUACGGGCAAACUGGAGUGUUGCAGGGGAGACUGGAAUUCCUGGUGUAGCGGUGAAAUGCGCAGAUAUCAGGAGGAACACCGGUGGCGAAGGCGGGUCUCUGGGCAACAACUGACGCUGAGGAGCGAAAGCGUGGGGGAGCGAACAGG
rnacentral:rRNA from 1 species